GUUGCUGAAGCACAUCACUCAUUUCGCACCACGCCAGCUGUGAGUUCGCAAAAUGUGCUACUCUUAUCGAAAAUAGGUCAGUUGUUUUUACAAAGAACUAACUGAAGGAAAAGGAAGGGGGCAGUGUUAUUUGAAAACGUUCCGAGAGGGAAAGAAAAGAGUUGUGAAUGUUGGACUUAAGCUGACAAUCUAUUGCAAAGCCCUGGAAGACACAGUUUGCGUUAACAGAAAUUGGGGGGAAAAAACUGUCUCAUUGUUAACGUCGGAGGACAACAUCAGGCCAGAAAAUCCAGAAGAUCAAGAAUCAUGUGAAAGCAAAGGUGCUAAUCCUUGAUGUACUUACAUCCAGUUUGGAAUUCUAAUAGGAAGAAAACUGGAAGAAAGAAGAAUGCAAUGAAAAAGUUUGCUCCACUUAUAUUAGUGAACAUUUUGGAGCGCUGAUUAUCUUUCUAAAGUAUCAUUAUAACAUGGCAGCAAUUUAAGUUUAAUGAGAUUUUUGUCUUCCUGAAGACACAGUGCCAGAAAUACGAAUCCAGAGAACAGCCUUCGUACAAUAGCGUAUGGCACAGUGUAUUGUUACUACAAUCUGAUGGCCAAAACUGAAUCCAAUAGCUCAAAUGGAGUCUCAAGCACAAAUAUUGCACCCUCACAUUCAAAAUCCAAUCUCUCUUCAGGUAAAA